rnacentral:rRNA from 1 species
UCGUUUGUACAACUUUAUGCGGUGGAUCACUCGGCUCGUGUGUCGAUGAAGAGCGCAGCCAACUGUGUGAAUUAAUGUGAAUCGCAGACUGCUUUGAACAUCGACCUCUUGAACGCACAUUGCGGCCAUAGGCUUGCCUAUGGCCACGUCUGGCCGAGGGUCGGCUUAUAAAC